rnacentral:rRNA from 1 species
UACGUAGGGUGCGAGCGUUAAUCGGAAUUACUGGGCGUAAAGCGUGCGCAGGCGGUUCGUUGUGUCGGUGGUGAAAUCCCCGGGCUUAACCUGGGAAUGGCCAUGGAUACUGGGCAGCUAGAGUGUGUCAGAGGAUGGUGGAAUUCCCGGUGUAGCGGUGAAAUGCGUAGAGAUCGGGAGGAACAUCAGUGGCGAAGGCGGCCAUCUGGGACAACACUGACGCUGAAGCACGAAAGCGUGGGGAGCAAACAGG